GACGAACGCUGGCGGCGUGCCUAAUACAUGCCAGUUGAGCGCUGAAGGUUGGUACUUGUACCCACUGGAUGAGCAGCGAACGGGUGAGUAACGCGUGGGGAAUCUGCCUUUGAGCGGGGGACAACAUUUGGAAACGAAUGCUAAUACCGCAUAAAAACUUUAAACACAAGUUUUAAGUUUGAAAGAUGCAAUUGCAUCACUCAAAGAUGAUCCCGCGUUGUAUUAGCUAGUUGGUGAGGUAAAGGCUCACCAAGGCGAUGAUACAUAGCCGACCUGAGAGGGUGAUCGGCCACGUUGGGACUGAGACACGGCCCAAACUCCUACGGGAGGCAGCAGUAGGGAAUCUUCGGCAAUGGACGAAAGUCUGACCGAGCAACGCCGCGUGAGUGAAGAAGGGUUUCGGAUCGUAAAACUCUGUUGGUAGAGAAGAACGUUGGUGAGAGUGGAAAGCUCAUCAAGUGACGGUAACUACACAGAAAGGGACGGCUAACUACGUG
rnacentral:rRNA from 1 species